rnacentral:lncRNA from 1 species
CUAAUAAAAACAAUUUUGCUUAUAAUGUAUGAGUAUAAUAUUUUGGGGUAAGUAAGGCACUGUCGUUUAUUUUGGGCCUAUUAUUUCCUUUUUAAUGUUCCUGACUUCAAACCUAUUAAAGCGAACAAUUAAAGUUUUAUAUUAAUAGAAUAUUUGAAUAAAUGAUUAGUAAUAAAUAACAAUAUUAUUUGUAGUGUAUGAGUAUAAUAUUUUGGGUAAGAAAGGCACGAUCGUUUAUUUUGCGUCCUAUCGUUUUUUUUUAAUGUUC